rnacentral:rRNA from 1 species
CCCUGGGGUGAGGAAUACCAGCGAGAAAUCGUUGACAAUUCCGCAUAGGCUCUCGUUUCCGCGAGGAGGGAGAGCAAAGCCUGGUUCGUGAGAGCGAGCGAGGUGCCCUGGGAGGAGCCUGCGUCCGAUUAGCUAGUUGGGGGGGUGAUGGCCUCCCAAGGCGACGAUCGGUAGCUGGUCUGAGAGGACGAUCAGCCACACUGGGAUUGAGAACGGCCCAG